AGAGCGCCAAUUCAUUGAUUCACUAUGGCAAACAGCGAAUGCAGACAGUCAUCAUAUUUCACGCACCUGGAACUGGAGAUACUCUUAAAAGCAACACAGCUGCCUCUGCAAAGGCAAGACAGGAAUCAUGGGAGUCGAUUGCUACCCGAGUCAAUGCCUUGUCUACAGCAUGGUGACAAUGACUAUAGUGAUGCUGACUAUGGUGCUGGUUGUGUUCGUCUUGAUGAGGACACUGUCAGAGACGACACUUCAGGGCCUACAGAUGUAUCAACCUCGUUUGUCUUGCAUCUCUAGCAUGCCAGGACCAGCCAUCAAUGAGCACAACACAUAUGAAGACUUUGAGAUGUUAUUUAUGUUCCUGGUUCUAAUUAUACAAUGCAAGUACAAUGUCACUGUAAAGUGAAUACCAUCCCUGUUUUCCCCCAGUUACCUGUAAAGGACUUGUUUAAAGAGCACUUUUUUGAAGCAGAAAGAGAAACCAAUCUGUUAAAGAUUAUUAUAAAAAAAAAAAAAAAACAUUUGGAAAUUCAUGUACUGCAACACCAGCUAGAGAUGGGUAUACAGUAUGGUCAUGGUUACAUUGUGUGAUAUGAUGGAACAAUAUAAUAAAUGUCCCAUUUCUGUUUUAGGAAAUAAACAACAGAUGAUCACUA